GCGGAUGCUACUGCUAUUGGGAUUCGAUUAAGCCAUGCAAGUCGAACGAGUUUAGACUCGUGGCGUACGGCUCAGUAACACGUGGAUAACCUACCCUUAGGACCGGGAUAACCUUGGGAAACUGAGGAUAAUACUGGAUAGGCAAUUUUUCCUGUAAUGGUUUUUUGUUUAAAUGUUUUUUCGCCUAAGGAUGGGUUUGCGGCCGAUUAGGUAGUUGGUUAGGUAAUGGCUUACCAAGCCUUUGAUCGGUACGGGUUGUGAGAGCAAGAGCCCGGAGAUGGAACCUGAGACAAGGUUCCAGGCCCUACGGGGUGCAGCAGGCGCGAAACCUCCGCAAUGUGAGAAAUCGCGACGGGGGGAUCCCAAGUGCCAUUCUUAACGGGAUGGCUUUUCAUUAGUGUAAAGAGCUUUUGGAAUAAGAG
rnacentral:rRNA from 1 species